CUGGACCAGACAGAAGACUACAGUUCAAUAAGAAGGAAACACAUUCAUUUUCAGUAUUGUUAAUAAAGAAGCUUACCUAAAAGAAGGAAAUCAAAACAAGAAGAUGGUCAUUACUUUUGGAGCCAACAAAUCACUAACUUUCAGCAUGACCUAUUGACUCCAGAAUUAAACAUUGUUGACAGCAGAGAUCCCAGGAGAAAGAAGAGAAAAGAAUGAAGAGGACAAUAUGGGUUUGUGUCCAAAUGCAUCUCUUUAUUCUGGUAUCUGAACAAUAUAUAGAGAGAGCUACCAAUAGGAGCAAAAAAAAACAAACAAAAACAACAACAACAACAAAAACAAAACAAAAAAAACCGUUUUCACGAGGAACUUUGAGGAUACAAUCAUCUCUGCUUGGGAGCCACUGACACAGAAUACAAAAGAAAUGAACAUGAAGAGGAAAUAAAACCUUCAGCUGCAGCUAAGAAUUUGGAGGUUACUGAAGGAGGUUACUUUUUCAAGAGCAGAAGUAAGGAUUCCACUGAAUUUGCUCACCAAAGAAAACUUACUGAAGAAUACAGACAGCAUAUCAGCUCCUGCUUUCCAGACAAACUUCCUGGGUCUUGGGAAGAAGAAAGCCUCAGACUAAGAACUGUCUCUGGAAUCAGACAGCCUGAAUUCAAAUCCCAUCUCUAUUCUUACUAGUCAUAUGAACACAGGC